GCCCCAGUAGCUCAGUUGGAUAGAGCAACGUCCUUCUAAGUCGGAGGUCGCCGGUUCGAAUCCGGCCUGGGGCA
rnacentral:tRNA from 2 species